UACGUAGGGGCAAGCGUUGUCCGGAUUUAUUGGGCGUAAAGAGCGUGUAGGCGGCUUGGUAGGUCCGCUGUGAAAACUCGAGGCUCAACCUCGAGAUGUCGGCGGAAACCACUUGGCUAGAGCCGGAAGAGGAGAGUGGAAUUCCCGGUGUAGCGGUGAAAUGCGCAGAUAUCGGGGAAGAACACCUAUGGCGGAAAGGCAGCUCUCUGGGGACGGGU
rnacentral:rRNA from 1 species